rnacentral:rRNA from 1 species
CAGCCCCGCGGGAAUACGGAGGGUGCAAGCGUUAAUCGGAAUUACUGGGCGUAAAGCGCACGCAGGCGGUCUGACAAGUCAGAUGUGAAAUCCCCGGGCUUAACCUGGGAACUGCAUUUGAAACUGUCAGGCUGGAGUCUUGUAGAGGGGGGUGGAAUUCCAGGUGUAGCGGUGAAAUGCGUAGAGAUCUGGAGGAAUACCGGUGGCGAAGGCGGCCCCCUGGACAAAGACUGACGCUCAGGUGCGAAAGCGUGGGGAGCAAACAGGAUUAGAUACCCCUGUAGUCCCUGUCUCUUAUACA